rnacentral:rRNA from 1 species
UACGAAGGGUGCAAGCGUUACUCGGAAUUACUGGGCGUAAAGCGUGCGUAGGUGGUUUGUUAAGUCUGUUGUGAAAGCCCCGGGCUCAACCUGGGAAUGGCAAUGGAUACUGGCAAGCUAGAGUGCGGUAGAGGGUAGUGAAAUUCCCGGUGUAGCGGUGAAAUGCGUAGAGAUCGGGAGGAACACCAGUGGCGAAGGCGGCUACCUGGACCAGCACUGACACUGAGGCACGAAAGCGUGGGGAGCAAACAGG